rnacentral:rRNA from 1 species
AUACGGAGGAUGCGAGCGUUAUCCGGAUUUAUUGGGUUUAAAGGGAGCGUAGGUGGGAUAUUAAGUCAGCUGUGAAAGUUUGGGGCUCGACCUUAAAAUUGCAGUUGAUACUGGUUUCCUUGAGUACGGUACAGGUGGGCGGAAUUCGUGGUGUAGCGGUGAAAUGCUUAGAUAUCACGAAGAACUCCGAUCGCGAAGGCAGCUCACCGGGCCGGAACUGACACUGAUGCUCGAAAGUGCGGGUAUCAAACAGGAUUAGAUACCCUGGUAGUCCGCACAGUAAACGAUGAAUACUCGCUGUUUGCGAUACACGGUAAGCGGCCAAGCGAAAGCAUUAAGUAUUCCACCUGGGGAGUACGCCGGCAACGGUGAAACUCAAAUGAAUUGACGGGG